rnacentral:rRNA from 1 species
UACGUAGGGGGCGAGCGUUGUCCGGAGUUACUGGGCGUAAAGGGCAUGCAGGCGGUCGGACGCGUUUCCAGUGACAGCGGGUGGCUUACCUACCCGAGUAUUGGAAAGACGGUUUGACUUGAGGACUCGAGAGGGACACGGAAUUCCGGGUGGAGUGGUGAAAUGCGUAGAUAUCCGGAGGAACACCAACAGCGAAGGCAGUGUCCUGGGAAGUUCCUGACGCUCAGGUGCGAAAGCCAGGGGAGCGAACGG